AGUGAACGCUGGCGGUAGGCCUAACACAUGCAAGUCGAACGGCAGCACAGUAAGAGCUUGCUCUUACGGGUGGCGAGUGGCGGACGGGUGAGGAAUACAUCGGAAUCUACUUUUUCGUGGGGGAUAACGUAGGGAAACUUACGCUAAUACCGCAUACGACCUACGGGUGAAAGCAGGGGAUCUUCGGACCUUGCGCGAUUGAAUGAGCCGAUGUCGGAUUAGCUAGUUGGCGGGGUAAAGGCCCACCAAGGCGACGAUCCGUAGCUGGUCUGAGAGGAUGAGCAGCCACACUGGAACUGAGACACGGUCCAGACUCCUACGGGAGGCAGCAGUGGGGAAUAUUGGACAAAGGGCGCAAGCCUGAUCCAGCCAUACCGCGUGGGUGAAGAAGGCCUUCGGGUUGUAAAGCCCUUUUGCUGGGAAAGAAAAGCAGCAGGUUAAUACCCCGCUGUUCUGACGGUACCCAAAGAAUAAGCACCGGCUAACUUCGUG
rnacentral:rRNA from 1 species